GCCGGGCGUGGUGGCGGGCGCCUCUAGUCCCAGCUACUUGGGAGGCUGAGGCAGGAGAAUCGCUUGAACUCAGGAGGCAGAGGUUGCAGUGAGCUGAGAUUGCACCACUGCACUCCCGCCUGGGUGACAGAGCGAUACUCAGUCUUAA
ensembl:misc_RNA Metazoa_SRP Metazoan signal recognition particle RNA